rnacentral:ncRNA from 1 species
CCAUGGAUCUCCGAUCGGGAAACCGUAUCCAAGCUCCGUGGCUAGUCUGCGCUCUUUGGACUUUUAAAACUUAGUGAACUGAAACAUCUGAAUAGCUAAAGGAAGGGAAAUCAACCGAGACCCCGUUAGUAGCGGCGAGCGAGAGUGGAUUGGGGGUUUGAAGAAAAACAAACGCGAAGCUUCGUUCCUCAGCAAAGUGUUCACUUCUUUUUCGCCAGGUUUCAUUCGAUUUGUUGUGGAUUGGAUGA